ensembl:lncRNA
UUGCGUCGCGCCGCGGGCACGUCGUUGCGCGUCCUCAGUAUUUAAUGUCUCUGUGUUCGCCCGGCCUGGGCUAGCACGUGGGGGAGCGGCCGAAGCGCCUUGCAGCGCUGCGGGGCAGGGCCGCUGGGCUAGGUGGGGGGCCCGGGGGCGGUGGCGGGAGGACUGUGCGCCUAGACGGUCGCCCCGGAGCAGGUUUUAAGGGCACAACCACUGAACAGCAGUAUUACUUAAUCUUCUAAACUGAGCGGGCUACCUCCCAGCCAAAAUCCUGAGAUAUUUGCAUUGCACAAUAACAUGCCUACGGAUGCUCCCUCCUUUCUGGAUCCACUCCUGUGUCUGGGGAGAACACAUCCUCCAGUACCUUGCUGAGAAAGUGAAUGUGCAUGGGUAGUACCAAGAAGCUGAUGUGUGAGGAGAGCCAGGGACCUCCGAGAGUGUGCACCAGGGAGUAUGGGACUGAGUUCAGGACUGCUCAACAAGGGCUCCCAAGCCAACAGGAGGCUUUCCCUUUUGGAAGAUGUGAAGGAGAAGAGAUCUGGAUUUGAGCACCCAGGUGGUGGUGACAGUGGUCACUGAGUGCAACCCGGCUAUGCUUGGCUCUUCAGUACUUAGUCUAAAGUCCUCUCAUCCCCGCACAAGAACUAGAACAUCCCUGCCUGCCUGAGAAAAUGGUACUCGUUUUCUGCUUAUUCCUCCAACCACCAGACAUUUUUUUUUCCUGCCCCUUGGACCAGCCAUUGACUACGUGGGCAGCA